CCGCUUCGAUCCUCCCGGCGGGCGAGAGGCGGCACCGCCCGGGACAUCCCGGCUCCCCCCUGCGGCGCUCUGCCCCCCACCCCGGCCGCUGUCGCGGCCCCGCCGCAGCGCGCCGUGCACUGUGCGGUUCCCACGGUAAGCCCCCGGUAGGGCCGGCCCCGCAGCCCCGGAGAGCGCUCUCAUCCGGGGCUCCCCGCUCCGGCCCGCCCGAGACCACUGCGCCGCCGGGACAGAGCAUCGCCCGGCUCUCCCUCCCUUCCCCUGGGCCGCAGCCCCGUGGGGCUCUCGCCGGUCGCGCCCCCGUGGAACCAGCGGGGCUGGAUGGCCGUGAGCGGGAGGAGCCGCUCCGGGGCUCCGGCGGGACCUUCCUCGGUCUCCAGUGCUCUAUUUUUCCCAUGCCAGUUGCCUUCUUCUUGAACUGGGUGAGACCUGUCAGACCGCUGGGCUUACUUACGUAGCCGGUGCCCAGGGAGCUGCCCUCUCUGCCCGGUACUUGCUCCAAAGCUUCCAGAGGCACCAGAGCUGGCCAGCAAGGAGCUGAGUGGCAAGGAGGUGGCUCUCCAUACCACCAGCGGUGCAAUCCCAGCAGGAGCCGCAGCCCAGCCCUCCCCCGAGCUGCCUUCAGCUCCAAGUGCUGCCCUGACACCGGCCCCGGCUGAGCUCAGAGCUGGGAGAGCCCCGGGGACAGGCGGGGACCCAGGGGCCCGGAGGGCAGUGCCCAGCGGGGGCCCAGUGGAUCCAGAGCUUCCGGCCACUCUCCACAUCCAACCGCUCCCCCAGGUAUCCCAAAAUAUGCUUCAGUGGGUCCAACACUAGGAGCUUUUAUCACCAGACUGAUUCUGGGAUCUCGAUUCAAUCAGACAAGACUUGGCACAUAAUGAGGGAAAACAGACACAAACUCUCCCAUAAAUGCAUAAAGUUACUUUAUUUUCAGUAUACAUUUAUUUAAUUUUGAAAAAUAUAAAUGCUAAAAUAUCUCAUCAUCUUUUGAUUCCAUAAAAGUCACAAUAGAAAGCUUCAUAAAACUGUAAAAUACUAUAAUGUUAUAAGGAAUUUCAUUUUUUAUAUUACUGGAAAAAAAAAAAUCACUUUAGUAUGUUUGAAAUGUUUUCUGCUUUUUUUCCUUGUAGUUCCACCAUCUGAUCCACUUCAUUUCAUCCUGAGUCCUUGUUCCCUCCUCCAAAGAAAACAGGGACUUAGGAGAAUUAAGAACAAGAACAAAAGUAUCUGAAAGUGCGAUUCCAACGCAGAGACGAAGGUGCGUCGGCCCCGGGAGGGGGCAGCGCAGGCCGGGGCUGGCACAGAGCUGGCCGUGGCGGGCUGGCACCUCGCAUUUGCGGGGGAAGGUCGUUUUUGACGGCUGCCUCUGAUCUUGGAGGGCUUUAGGUCGGUCUCCACACUUAUUCCCUCAAGCGCCCAGCCAGGCUUUUCCGACAAAACCCCGGAUUUGGAUGGAAAGGACGUUCUGGUUGUUCUCAAAGGCAGAGAACCUCUCCCUGUCACGCUGCAGCUCCUCCCUGCCGCCGGACGUGGGUGCUUCUCAUGCAAAGCCGCAGAACCCUUGGUCCUGUCGGCAGCGCCGCCCUCAGCACAACACAAAAAACACAACACAGAGAGAGAGAAAGAUCUACAACAGCAGUCAGGACACUUCAAGUGUAUUUAACACGGUUCAGAAGAGAAGACCUCAUUUUUGGGGAGACAGGUCAGCAGGCAGCAGCAGCUGGAAGCUGUGCCCAUGGAAGGGAGCGGGACGGCCCCUGCUGGGGAUCCCCCUGAUGGCACCUCUCCUCUGGGAUCGCUGCACUGCACGGUGUGGGCAGGACGAGCACCAUCCCCCACGCAGCUCCUGAGUGCUCCACAGGCCACGCUCAGCCUGUCCCCACUGGGUGCCAGCACUGGUGUCCACCACGGGAUGGAGAGCGCUGGCUAAAGCUGGCAUCACGCUUCCCAAGUUACCUGUCCUCCACCUGCAGAAGGGAUCCCAGAGCUGCUCCUUGUCAGGCCUUUGCCAAGUCUCCCUGGCAUUUUCAGAGCAGGUUUCAGCCGGGUUCCUGGGAUACCCAACACAGAUUUCAUGGAAACUGAAGGGGAGACCCCUCGAGGGCGAGCAGGGGCUGUAUGGAGGUGGUGGCUCCUGUGUGGGAGCAGAUGCUAAAAUUUGGCAUUUAAGGUCUCAGCACCAUCAGAAAUUCCUCUUGACUUCACCAACCCAGACUUUGGUUUCACAAGGACCAAGUGGCAGCAUGUGCCCAUCCUCUGUGAUGGGAUUGUCUCCAUCAGGGAAUUCGCCUCGAGAGCCGGGGUACUUUUUCUUCUUGUUCUGUUUUUUAUUUUUGGACGAAGCUAUUCGUGUGUUCCCCAUGUCCUGGUGAAGCCCAGUUUCCCAAAGCUGCCUUUAGAUGCACACAGCACUAUGAACGUGCUACAGAGAGCCCAGCCUCUCUCCUGAUGUGAUGUCCACUCUCCUGGGAUGCCCACGCCUGGCCUGCUGAGCCAUGCUGCAUUGCUGGUGCGGCGCAGAGCAGCCAAGGUGCAGGGUCACUUCUGCACAUGGUGCUGCACAGGGCUGGAAUGCAGGAGGAUGUGGAUGUUUGUGAAUCCCAGUGUCAGGAUGAACAUCCCAGCAGGCCACCUUCAUCUUCCUCCCCGAUCACAAGAGAUUUAUGUCUCUUUCAGAGCAGGGGGUGCUCAUUAAAAAAAAAAACCUCCAAAAACCAACUUAACCCUAAGGAAAACAGAUGCUUUGGAGCAGAAGGUGUUAACUGAACUGAUCCAGCCCUAUGCCACGUCCUGGAGAUUGUGGUGUGAUGUCGUGGGUUUGUUUCUUGUAAAAAUCACAUGAUAUAUGGUACAAUACAUUUUUUACAGAAA